GGGGGGGUUUGCGCGGGAGCGAGGCUGUUGCUGGGUUCGUGCCUCAGCUGGACGGCCGUUAAACGGGCGACGGCUGGGGGCUGACAGGUGCCCCUGAGGCGGCUGUCUCCAAGCGCUGCCGCAGAGCGGGUACCACCUGGGUCCCCGUUCACUGAGCAGCGCUAAGUAACUGCCAUCUCCUCUGCUUCUACCACAGUGGCGUUGGUCAGGGAUGGCUGAGGGGGCUGCGUGCUGCCCGAGGGCUCGCUGCCUGGCUGAGGGUCACUGUCUGGCCGCCUCUGAGGAGAGCAAAACCUGUCUGCAGGUUGCUUCAGCUCUUCUGGAGAAUUAAUGAUUUCCUCCUGUAAGAGACUGCUGGAGGAAGGAGUCCAAGCACCCACCUCCUUGCACUAUACCUCUCCAGCAGUGCGUGUUGGUCCUUCUCCCAGAUCUUCGUAUCUGUGCUCCCUGACACGUGUUCAAUGCAAGGCACGUAGAUAAGCAAAAGGGGGCCUAGUGCCAGGGGUCCCUCCCCUCCCCACGGCAAUGUUACUGCUGCUAGGUCACAGCCUCCCCAUUGGCUGGCAGAAGCCCCAGUCACCCACCCUGUCCCCCAGGCAGCAGUAUGAGUUCAGCGGGCUGGCUGGCAGUGGUUGGGCAAGCCACCUCCUGCCCAGUGAGAUGCUCCUUUGGCAGGCCAGGGAGAUGCAUCUGAACCCCACUGGGCCAGAGCUCAUAGAAGCAUUAAGGUUGGAAAAGACCUCUAGUAUCUAGUCCAUCAGCCCAUCACCACCAUGCCCGCUAGGCCACACCUCUCAGUGCCGCAUCUACCCUUUUCUUGAACACCCCCAGGGACUGUGACUCCACCAUCUCCCCCACAUCUCCUGAUGCAUGGUGUGGAGGGAAGAAGAUCACCAGGGGGCAGAGGAAGGCUUCGAAAGAGAUGGUGAAGUGCUAAGCAAAAGCAGCCAUCAUUCUGCAUGUGGUGAGGGAAGUGGCUGAUAAGCUUGCAGCUGGCCCUCUCUUCACCCGUCAAAGGAACUCGGAGGCUGCUUACUCAGGAGUUGCCUCCAGUUGGGGGUGGGGAGUGACAUUUUCCAAGCGUUCCGGCUGUGCUGAAGUGGGUGGUGGGCACCUCCUGCCCACUAACCCACCUGGGAAGAGCAGUGGCAGCAGGAAUGUGCCACUGUAGCCUACUGGCAUGUGUUGGGUGUGCUCAGAGGAGCUCAUCUUGCACAGGAACAUGUUUGAGAGCUCAGUUCUGAGCAGGGAUGCGGGGGAGGAGAGGUGUGGAGCUGCCAAGCACGGGGUGGCUCUGGGUAUGCCCAAAGCAGAAUGUCCCGCAUCUUCACGUGCAGACAGACUAAAAAUAGGGGACCUCAGGAUUGGUCAGCAGCAGUAGGAACUUUUGGGGUGGUAGGUCUGGGCUUGAAUGCCUCAGCUGAGCCCAAGUGUCCUGCUCCGAGUAUGAAAAGCCUCAUGUUCCUUGUGGUUCAUGUGAGUGUCACUUAAGUGCACUUGGGGCAUGCAAUUACAGCUAACUGCCCUGCAAACUCUUCCCGGCAUCUGAAAAAUUGAAUUCUCUUGUCCACAUGUACCCUCCCCUGCCCUGCAGGAUCCUCUCCUUCAGUCUGGCAAACCUCUGCGUGAGAGACGCAUGGCUUAAAUCACCCACUGCCAUUGUACCUUGGAGAGCUGAUGACAUUGAGUGAAACCUGUUUGAUUUUUUUUCCCUUUUCUUUUCGUGUACCAUUUUUGUGAGCACACGUAAUUGAAUACACACUGAGAAAUGAUCUGCUGAAGAGCCUGCUGUUUCUAAAUGCAGUAGCUACUCUUCAUAAUAAGCAUAUUAAACAUAAAAUGUAUCAAGGUAGAGCUAUUAUAAGCCUUGUUUUACCAAAAUGGAUUUUUUUCCCCCCUUGGAACUAACGUGGAAAGCUGGGGAGAAACUGUAGCUGAAGUCUGACAUGUUCAAACACAAGAAGCCUAAAGAGGAACGCAGUCUGUUCAGUUUGCUCACAGAGGCUUUGCGACCUGUGUCCUUGUAGGAAUGAUGACACAAGCUUUUUUUUUGUUUGUUUGUUUUUUAAAAUAAGGAAGGAAUUAACUGCCUUGGCUAAUGGCACCCUCGCUAGGACACCAUUUGGCUGUGAAAGUUGUUGGUGCACCCAAAUUUCUCAGCUGGGGAGAAUUUCUGAAGUGAGAGUGUCCCCACAUCUGUGGGUUGGAAGAGCUAUUUAAAAUUCUUCCUAAUUGGAAAAUUAAACACUGUUGCUUUAAAACAGUGGUGCACCGCUUUGAAAAAUUAAGACCAUAUGGAAUCAUUUAUUACUUUUCAAUAUGUAUUCAGUCUCUGGUGCAAUUUUAUGUACCCGCUAAUGCAUAAAAUCUUUUGGAGCAAGAAUAAAGUACCACAAAGCGUGAUUUAAUGCCAUGGGGUCACCAAAUCUGUUUUGCAUUACUGGAUGUUUCAAUCUGUUGAAAAGAAGGGGAUGUCCCUGAACCAGUGGAACAAUGAAAGGGCAGUUGGAGGGAAGCCCAUAAAUCUGAAACACUUUGGCAAUAUACUGCACUCAUCAAACAAAACUUUCUAAAAACCACUGGGGAUUUGGGCAUGUAGGAGAUACAGUUAGGGAGAAAAUUAAACUAAGUAACAUAAAAAUUAAAGUCAUAUUAAUAGCACAAUACCUGGUUGCAGCUUACGAAAUCCUAACAGAUUGUGUUUUCACGUAGUACAGGCCCACAUAGGCAUGUGACUGCAAGAGAAAAUAAAAGUAAUCCGGGAGCACACAAAAGUACUUUUGUUUACAGUGCUGCGGUAACUGGAAGUGCCUAUUCUUGAGCUUAUUCGCAAACACUUCUGCCGCUUUCUUGCAGAAAUCCUAUCCAAACACUUUUGUUGUGACCCCAUUAGCCGAGGACUUUUGGCCUUAGUUCUUUUCAUGCAACUACUGCAGCUCUUCUCUCGAGGUUCAGCCUCACAGUCUCAGUCUCAUAGAUCUUCCUCCUUCAGGGGGCUGAGCGAAGGCUGAAGAGUCAGCCAUGUGCUUGUUGCUGAGUUGCUGAGCGGCCAGCCAUGGGGCAGCGUUUGCUCUCAGGGUCUGGGCAUUAUCCUUUCUGCAGUUCUGUAGGGACUGACACCAAGGGGUUGAGCCUGAUGAGUUGUGUGCUCCUGCCAGCAGGUGCAGCGCUCUGCAGGCACAGGAGGAGAUCUCUAUGCCUCGAUCGUGCAGCUGGGAGCAGCAUAACUGGCCGGCAGUAUGUAUUUGCAAUUUAUAACCAGCAAGUAAUCUGCUUAAUCUGCAACUUUCCUGCAGCACCAAAGCUUGUUCAUCAUUCUUUACACAUUUGAUAACUGAUAGUAGUCAUUUCAAAUAACUCUUUUUUUUUCUUUUUUAAAUAAAUAGAGUAUGCAUACUUCUGGCUUGACACUGUGACCUCUCCCUCCUGCUCACAUUUUAGCAUCAAAAUUCCUCAGGCAAAACGAAUCCGGUGGAAUGAAUGCACAAUUUGGUUAAGACAGAUACCAGAAGAAGUAAUUACUACUCGUGAAUAGCUUUUAUUCGGAUCCUACAUCACCGCUGUUGGAAAAUCUUAGGAAAUCUUCUCGAAAGUUCUUUCAAACUUUCCUGAGAGCGGUUCUCCAUGUCGGUAUACGUUCCUACUUUACUGUGUUCAGUAUGGGUGGUAGCACUGCUGUUUGCCCAUAGAUGGCACUGGCGUUACACUGCUGAAGAAGCCCCCAGCCUAGGAAUUGAGGCUAUGGUGGCAAUGAGAAGAAAAAAAUACCUGCUUUUUUUUCACUCACUGUGACAGUGGUGUUGGGAACUGUUCUACUUGCAGGAACUCACCGUGUGGGAAGAGAUCCCGAGGUGAUGAGGCAGCAUAUUUCCUGUGCUUGAUGUCAGGAUUUGUUCUGUAAAACUGACCCUUAACGACACCCUGAAAAUGAGGAACGUGGUGCCAGAGAGCAGAGCAGGAAGCAUGAAAUGAUGUAACGUGUUUCUUCUGCUUAUGAAGUCCUUUUUUUUUUUUUUUUUUUUUUUUUUAACUCCAGGUUUGUGAUUCAGCAUUUUCUGCCACUGCCAGAAUAUGAAGGGGGAAAACUCUGCAGAAAAAGUUUCACAGAAUCACAGAACUGGAAGGGCUGGAAGGGACAUCUGGAGAUCAUCGAGUCCAACCCCCUGCCAAAGCAUGCUCCCUACAGCAGGCUGCACAGCAUUUUUAGAGCUUGGGGAUUAAGAUACACAGCCAAAAAGUUACUUAAAUAUGCCACAACAUGGAGAUUCGAAUGACUGGCUCACUGAAUGUCACGUGGGGUAGCUGCACAGUAUGUAUGGAGAGUGAGGAGCCUCAAAAGAGUGAAACCCGACUGCACAGGGACAUUGUUGAACCAGCCAGCAGAGACUAUGAGCCUGGAAAAGGGAGUUGCACAGGUGUUGUGAUUUUUCCAGAACAGUGUCAGGAUCCCAGCAGAGGAAGAAUACAUUGCUCUAAGGAGAUUUCCUCACUGAGAUGCAGAAUAUCUUGUCAUCACAGCUGCACUUGACAUUGGACCUGGUCUGCAUCUGCUUCGUUGCUUGAAGAUCUCUGUCCGCUCAUCUCCUUGUUCUUUCUGUUGCCUUUACUGACUGGACUCCAAAAUGAAACCACCAAGAUGAGUCUGAAAAGUUGAAUUGAUGUGAUCAUGGAGCACAUCGCUUACUCUGCACAGGCAGACGCCCGCCGAGCUCUCAGGGCUCCCGGCGUCGUUCCACGUGCUCAUGCAGCUGUUUAUUAUUUAGGGAACGCGUUUCAGUAGGAAGAGGUACUGAACCUCAGGAAAAAAAUGUGUGAUUCAUAUGAACCUCCCAGCGUGUUAUCGUUGAAACACAGCGUUUAAGGGAGAACGUUUCUGUCGCUUGCAAGUUGGCAUGGGAAGAGGAGAGAUCCCGACAUCCCGACGCAUGGUGGAGCUCGAUGAUGGCGUAUGAGGUGUCCGGCCUCCAUAGGCAGACUCCUUAGUGCAAAGGACAAAUCCCACUGCUCCUGUGAAUACAUGCCACAUAGUUGUUUGUACUUUAAUGCAAGCAGUCUGUGAAGAACCAUCGUAUUGAGAAACUGCAAGAUAGAAAGAUAGGAGAUCCCAUUGUUUCGUGUGGAAGCCAAGCGUGACUGGAAAAGCAGCUGUCAUGAGGGCUGCAGGGCUGAAGGCUGUGCUGCCUGAGCUGGCACAUGCAACUCAUGAGGCAGAAGAGUACUGUGUGUGUCUCAGUGUACCUGCCUGGUGCUCUCCGGGCUGACUGCCGGGAGUUAAACUGAAGGAAGCUGAAGAGACAGGAGAAAGGAGGAAAUGAAUGAUGGCAGCGAUAAGGCCUAGUGACACCAUCAGGCCUUCAGGACAUCAGUGGGGAGCAAGGUCCUGGAAAGGGCCCUGCCAGUCCCUGCCAGAAUGGUGCCAGGCUGUUUUUCCAAGGCUGGUGGUGGACAUGAAAACAUAUCGAACCCUCCUCCAGCACAGAUGAGAGUCACAGGGUGCAGAAAGGAGGUGGGAGCAGCCUCAAAAGGAGAGACAUUGCUAGAGCUGCAGAUGCAGCUGGAUGUAUACAGACUGAUGGGCUAUGGGGGAAACCUCAGGGAAAUCUCAAAAGCCUGAGCUUUUGGGGAGGUGACAGGCGGGGAGCCCCGAGCCCUCAAGCAGGCUUGGCCGUGUCCCCCGGUUCAGUCCUGUCCUCAGGUUCAGCCAGUUGUUCUGCCCUGAGGGAACAGCUUUAGAGAUCUGAUGCAGGGUUUUUUGGAGGGGAAGGAGCUGGCAGGCAACGUGCCCAUCUUUAUGUCUGCACAGGAAUCAGGGAUGGGACAGAAAGGGGACGCCAUCCCCCAGUAGUGCUGCACCAGGCAGAGGGAGGCGAAUGUGGCAACUUUGUGUCUGGGGAGAGGUGGCAAAGCUGGGCCAAGGCACCGUCCAGCAUCCCAGUUGGGCACCUGGGUACACAGCUGGCUGUUGUUUUUCCCCACAGACACCCCUCACCUGUGCCCUCAGGGCCGCACAGCGCCGUGUGCCACGAGCAGGGGCUGAGCGAGCACAGGUGCACUGUGUGCUGGAACCAUCUCCCACCCGAAGCGGCCAGGCGGCUCUGACUGAAAUUUAAUUUGCCUGGUGUGUUCAGGGGACGUUCUAAUCAGCAUUUCCUACAAUUUACUUGGCAAAGAAGCUCAACUGGCAGCUGCUUCACUGAAUGGGCUUUGCACCCAGUCUAACCUUCUCUGUUCGCUAUUUGCAGCGCUGGAAAACCUCUCCGUCUCACUCUCAGAAGUUUCUAUAGCAAUCACUGCCGUCGUAGUGGAGGACUGAAAAUGGUGAACCAUUCAGAUUGUAAUUUGGCUGGACAGUAGUUGCUCCUCUCUCCAGCGGCCUCUGAAAUUUCGCUUUUUGUGAGCUAUCACAACUGGAGGAGUCCGGUCUUCAGCCCGUGUCUGCAACGAGCUUUGUCCCCCCGCACCCUGACUGACUGCGUCAGCUGUGUGCAGUGCCUGAACGUCGGCCAGCAGGACCUGGGGCGGAUGCCUGCUCCCUCUGCUCCAGGACAGGCCUUACGUGAGCGAUGUUCUUAACAAGGCGGCAGGAAAGAAACAACCCGCCGACACGUCAUCGUGUGACCUGAACGUCAUCCAUCACUGGAGGUAGAACAAACAAGUUACACAAGUGCGUUUGGCUUUGCUAAUUGUAAAAGAACAGAGGAUACAAAGGGAGCUUUCUCUUCGUGUCAGCGAGCUUACUUUCCCUGGUUCAUUUAACUUCAGCUUAAACAAUCGCUUGAUCUUUUGUUGCGCGCUUCAUCUUCCAGCGGCUGUGAUCUCUCUUAAUUACUGUGACGUUCACGAACCGUGCACUAAAAAUAUAUUAAGCAACAGAACUGAAGCGCCUGCUUUCUGCCCCGGGA